rnacentral:rRNA from 1 species
UACAGAGGGGGCAAGCGUUAUUCGGAAUUAUUGGGCGUAAAGGGCGCGUAGGCGGCCUGGCAAGUGGAAGGUGAAAUCCCUCGGCUUAACCGAGGAACUGCCCUCCAAACUGCUUGGCUUGAGACCGGGAGAGGUGAGUGGAAUUCCCAGUGUAGCGGUGAAAUGCGUAGAUAUGCGGAGGAACACCGAUGGCGAAGGCAAUCCCCUGGGCCUGCACUGACGCUCAUGCACGAAAGCGUGGGGAGCAAACAGG